rnacentral:lncRNA from 1 species
UUAAAUAUUAAAAAUUGGUGACCAUUGGAUCGGCUUAAAUAUACAUUCCAUUCAAUUUCUUAAGUGUUAUACGUACAAAAUAAAUAAAUUUAAAUCUACUUAAUAAAUAUAUAUAUACACACACCAUUGAACUUGAUGGGAUACGAAUCCUACGAAACUGAUUUGAACGAUCGAACCAUCAAACUUGUUUGUAUAUGCUUCGAGAUCGCAUUAGCAAAAAAUCGCAAAAAAAAAAACAUUCAGAAAUCAAGUAACGGGACAAAACUUUUUGACGGUUAUCAACGAAAAAUCAUGAUUUAACGGUUAUUUUAACUUCGAUUUUGAUGAUUUUUCACAGCUACACUCCUUAACGCUAUAUGAAUACAAUGAAUGAACUCGAUCUUCAAUUUCAAAUAUUUAUACUAGUGGAUACCAAUAAAUCUUAUGUUAUACUUAAUGAAAGUAUGAAUAAACUCUUAAGUGAUAGUGAAUCUAUUGUUUUGAUGGGAUACACAUUAUACGAAACUAGUUUCAACGAUCCAACCAUCAAACAUGUUUGUAUAUACUUCGAGAUCGGAUAGGCCAAAAAUUGCAAAAAACAAACAUUCAGAGAUCUAGUAACGGGAUAAAACUUUUCGACGGUUAUCAACGAAAAAUCACGAUUUAACGGUUAUUUUAACUCCGAUUUUGAUGAUUUUUUACAGCUACACUCCUUGACCCUAUAUGAAUAUAAUGAAUAAACUCGAUCUUCAAUUUCAAAUAUUUACACUAGUGGAUACCAAUAAAUCUUAUGUUAUACUUAAUAAAGUAUGAAUAUACUUUUCAGUGUUAGUGAAUCUAUUGUUUUGAUGAGAUACGCAUUCUACGAAACUAGUUUCAACAAUCCAACCGUCAAACAUGUUUGUAUAUACUUCGAGAUCGCAUAGGCCAAAAAUUGCAAAAAACAAACAUUCAUAGAUCAAGUAAUGGGAUAAAACUUUUCGACGGUUAUAAACGAAAAAUCACGAUUUAACGGUUAUUUUAACUCCGAUUUUGAUGAUAUUUUAUAGCUACACUCCUUGACCCUAUAUGUAUACAAUGAAUGAACUCAAUCUUCAAUUUCAAAUAUUUACGCUAGUGGAUAUCAAUAAAUCUUAUGUUAUACUUGAUGAAAGUAUGAAUAAACAAUGUUAGUGAAUCUAUUGUUUUGAUGUGAUACGCAUUCUACGAAACUAGUUUCAAUGAUCCAACCAUCAAACAUGUUUGUAUAUAUUUCGAGAUCGCAUACGCCAAAAAUUACAAAAAAUAAACAUUCAGAGAUCAAGUAACGUGACAAAACGUUUCGACGGUUAUCAACGAAAAAUCACGAUUUAACGGUUAUUUUAACUCUGAUUUUGAUGAUUUUUUACAGCUACACUCCUUGAACCUACAUGAAUACAAUGAAUGAACUCGAUCUUCAAUUUAAAAUAUUUACACUAGUGGAUACCACAAAAUCUUAUGUUAUACUUAAUGAAAGUAUGAAUAAACUCGUAAGUGUUAGUGAAUCUAUUGUUUUGAUGAGAUAUGCAUUCUACGAAACUAGUUUCAACAAUCCAACCGUCAAACAUGUUUGUAUAUACUUCGAGAUUGCAUACGCCAAAAAUUGCAAAAAACAAACAUUCAAAGAUCAAGUAACGGGACAAAACUUUUCGACGGUUAUCAACGAAAAAUCACGAUUUAACGGUUAUUUUAACUCUGAUUUUGAUGUUUUUUACAGCUACACUCAUUGACCCUAUAUGAAUACAAUGAAUGAAUUCAAUCUUCAAUUUAAAAUAUUUACACUAGUGGAUACCACAAAAUCUUAUGUUAUACUUAAUGAAAGUAUAAAUAAACUUUAAGUGUUAGUGAAAUGCUAAGAACCGUUAAUGAAAGUAUAAAUAUUUUAAACUGACGAUCAAAUUAGUUCAUUGUAUUCAUAUAGGAUCAAGGAGUGUAGCUAUAAAAAAUAAUCAAAAGCGGAGUUAAAAUAACCGUUAAAUCGUGAUUUUUCGUUUUAUAACCGUCGGAAAGUUUUGUCCAGUUACUUGAUCUCUGAAUGUUUGUUUUUUGCGAUUUUUGGCGUAUGCGAUCUCGAAGCAUAUACAAAAAAGUUUGACGGUUGGAUUGUGGAAAUUAGUUUCAUAGGAUGCGUAUCCCAUCAAAACGAUAGAUUUAUUAACACGAUAGAUUCAUUAAAAUGUUAUAUGAGAUACCAAAAAAAAAAAAAACUCGUUAUUUUAACUCCGAUUUUGAUGACUUUUGACAUCUACACUCCUUGACCCUAUAUGAAUACAAUGAAUAAAUUCGAUUUCAAUUUAAAACCUAUAUUAAUUAUUUUAUAAAUUUUAAGUAUUAAUUAGACUAUGUUUCAAUUAGUAUGUGAUGAUAUUUUAUCAUAAAAUUAUAUUUAUGUUUUUUAUUACGUAUUUUAUUUAAGUUAAAUUUUAUUUAUUAAAAUCUUAAAAUGUUAUAUGAGAUAAUUUGAAACGGAUGGAUAAACAUUAGGCGGGAAAUGGAUGGAUAAUUUGAAAUAUUAGGUGGGAAAUUUCCCGCUGGAAAUGUAUUCUCAGACUUAGUGUCGGUUUUA